rnacentral:rRNA from 1 species
UACAGAGGUCUCAAGCGUUGUUCGGAUUCAUUGGGCGUAAAGGGUGCGUAGGCGGCGCGGUAAGUCGGGUGUGAAAUCUCGGAGCUUAACUACGAAACUGCAUUCGAUACUACCGUGCUUGAGGACUGGAGAGGAGACUGGAAUUUACGGUGUAGCGGUGAAAUGCGUAGAUAUCGUAAGGAAGACCAGUGGCGAAGGCGGGUCUCUGGACAGUUCCUGACGCUGAGGCACGAAGGUCAGGGGAGCAAACGGG